rnacentral:misc_RNA from 1 species
GAUGAAGAACGUAGCGAAAUGCGAUACGUAAUGUGAAUUGCAGAAUUCAGUGAAUCAUCGAGUCUUUGAACGCACAUUGCGCCCCCUGGUAUUCCGGGGGGCAUGCCUGUCCGAGCGUCAUUGCUGCCCUCAAGCACGGCUUGUGUGUUGGGCCUCCGCCCCCCGGCUCCCGGGGGGCGGGCCCGAAAGGCAGCGGCGGCACCGCGUCCGGUCCUCGAGCGUAUGGGGCUUCGUCACCCGCUCCGUAGGCCCGGCCGGCGCCCGCCGGCGACCCCCCUCAAUCUUUCAGGUUGACCUCGGAUCAGGUAGGGAUACCCGCUGAACUUAAGCAUAUCAAUAAGCGGAGGA